GCUGUUGUACCUAUGAUGGUAUGCAGGAGUUCCCUUUAAAUACGCACUUCCGAUCAGUAGAUGAGUUGCGUUUCAAUUGUUUGGCGCGCAGGUGGUUGUCUGUUGCUGGAAGAACAAUCUCUGUGAUUUUUAGAUGUCUUAAAUUCUCAUGUUGGUUAUCUUGGGCUGGAGGAGUAUCAGACGCUGAACGAGCAGCAUAGCAUACUGCACGGGAGCAUUGACAAUCUAUGGAAGUAUAUGGUGAUGAUUGUAGCCCUUUAAUGGUGUGUGAUCAGCUAAAGUCUCAAAGGUAUUUAUUUUAAAUGUUAUUGUGAGGCUAGUAUACCUAGCAUUUUAAUAUUGUUGACUAAUAAAUUUAUAGAUGGUGGUUUCUUUUUGAAAUUGCAAUUUGUUUUUCUUUUUUUUUAAUAUUUGUGUAAUUAAAUUAGCUG